rnacentral:piRNA from 1 species
UACCUGUGACUGUAAGCUCUCGACCUG